GGCUCCGAUUCACGCAAGAAUAUUGCCUAUUAGUUACGGUAUGGUUCAGUGGGAAAAUGGAGUCCAAAAUUAAAUUAUAUUUCACUAGACUGUAACACAAUCAAACCUUGAUUUUUGCGCACCACUUAUGUUAUUUCCCUUUUUCAUUUUAAUCUUUUCAGCAUUUUUUAUAAGAUUAUAACACCUCAGGAGACUUAUAUACCAGACUUCCAUAUAAGCAACGCAUGUUUCAAGUUCCAUUUGGCCUCUCUGAGAUGAGAAACUGAGACCAUAGACUUGGUCAGCACUGGAUCACCCAUCCAUCCAUCAUCACAAAGCCCAGCACAGUGACUACUUACUGUAUUAUUAUUAUUGUUGUUGUUAUUAUUAUUAUUAUUAUUUAGUACCAGGGAUGGAACUCUGGACCUUGAGCUUGUGAGGCAGGCUGCUGCACCGCUGAGCUAAAUCCCUG
rnacentral:lncRNA from 1 species